UGCGCAAGCCCAGAUCUCGGCGCGCCCCUGAGGAGUUUCUGUGGGAAGAUUUUCUGUUUUCCAGGUUUCCCAAGGGAAACGAAGAAAGGGAGGAGGAUAAUCAAUGACUGAACCUCUAAUAGAUGUUGGACGACGUUAAAAAAAAAAUGUAUCGGCCCUACCCUCGAGGAUUUGACAAAUUAGACUGACCAGAGUAAUAAGAGAUACAGGCAGAAGAGGAGACAUAGACACACACAGAGGAGAAGAUGAUGUGAAAAGGGAGGCAGAGAUCACAGUGGUGUGGCUACAAGCCAAGAAAUACCGAAGCCAUCAGAAGUUGGAAGAGCCACCAAGAGUGCUGAACAAUCAUCUGAGGACAUCAUUGGGUAUCACUGGCAAAGAGAAGAGAUGAAGAAAAGAUAAGAGAAAGAAAUGAAAGUGGAAGAGGGCAGAAAAAGAUAAACAAAAGUUAGGAGAGUUUUCAGGAGGAGAAAAUAAAGAGAAGACAGAGAAGGAAGUAUCUGGUAAGGAAACAAAUACAGAUGUAAUCCAGUUGGGAUACCAGGCUUUCAUUAGGAUAUUUUCUCUCUUUUUCUCCUUAGAUCCACAUUUGUCAGGACGCCAAUUCACCUAAUCAUAUCUGCCAUAUAUUUUCCAUCUAAGUCACCUUGACAAGCUAUCAUUAACCUUGUAGCCCAUGUGUGUCUCAGAAUCCACUCUUCUCCCCACCUACUGGCAUGUGUAUUUAUUUUUAUGUAAGUAUUUCUGCUGGAAUGUAUCUAUUAUUGUACUUUAUUCACCAUUCUUCCUUUCUUGCCACUAAUAAAAUUGCAGUUUCAUGAGAGCUUCAGGUUGAACUUUCAUGCCACCUGUUAAUACAGAUAAUUUUUUAUCUACCCAGCUUACCUUGACCUGGUAUAAUUUGUUUGCUUUCAACAACUCUACUUCAAUUUUUUUUUUUUUUUUUUUGAGAUGGAGUCUC
rnacentral:lncRNA from 1 species